GCCUGGGUGGCUCAGUCAGUUGAGCGUCCAACUUCAGCUCAGGUCAUGAUUUUGCGGUUCAUGAGUUCGAGUCUCACCUCAGGCU
rnacentral:tRNA from 1 species